AUUGAACGCUGGCGGCAUGCCUUACACAUGCAAGUCGAACGGAGGAUGUAGCGAUAUAUCCUCAGUGGCGAACGGGUGAGUAACACGUGGGAACCUUCCUAGGGGUACGGAACAACUCAGGGAAACUUGAGCUAAUACCGUAUACGUCCGUGAGGAGAAAGAUUUAUCGCCCUUAGACGGGCCCGCGUCGGAUUAGGUAGUUGGUGGGGUAACGGCCUACCAAGCCUACGAUCCGUAGCUGAUCUUAGAGGAUGAUCAGCCACACUGGGACUGAGACACGGCCCAGACUCCUACGGGAGGCAG
rnacentral:rRNA from 1 species